rnacentral:lncRNA from 1 species
UCAACUGCGCCCAUCUCAUCUACAGGCACAAUUAAAUUCAAUGACAAAAUCACUCUCAAAGAUGUUCUUUGUGUUCCUUCUUUUAAUUUAAAUCUCAUGUCCAUUAGUAAGAUAACCAGUUCACUAAAUUGUUGUGUCGUUUUUACUCCACAUGGUUGCGUUUUACAGGACUUGGCUACGGGGAGGAUGAUUGGCUCGGGUAAACAACACGCAGGCUUAUACUACAUGUCCCCUCUUCCAAACCAAGCCCACGCAUCUCA